rnacentral:lncRNA from 1 species
CCCACAUCCGGUGUUGGCGAAACCGUAGGAGCCCGGAGGAGCCCCGGAAAGCCGGCUUGUUCCCCGGCUCCCGGAGAGAGAACUGACACUAGAUUGCUUUCUUCGCGACAACAGUUUCCCUAGUUUAGCGGACCCCCACUGCCUAAAUCAGACUGAGUGCCAGGAGCUGAAUUUACCUACUCUCGUUCCUCUCCAGGGUCCCACUACUUGGGAGAUACUCUCAAACUCCACAUACUGAAAGCCACCGACCUUAAUCCGGAUUGAUGAAACCGUAAUGAAGAACACCCCCUAAAGUCCCAUAAUCGGUGCGGAUUCCUAUGGGGAAGGCCCAUGUUGUUGACAUCUUGCAGGCCUUGGUUCUGGACCUUGAGAAGGAGGCGGUGGAACUAGUGAUAGCGAUGCUUUUUAGGAUUUGGGGAUAUUCCCUGCCCAAAAAUUUCCUGGAAAAUUGACUAGUAUUAAGUGUGAGUAAAAGGUGUCCACUUUUUUUUAAGUUUUGAUUUUAGUUUUGUCUUGGAUAGUAUUUGGCAAGAUUUAGCCUAGAAAUUAUGUAGUAUUUAUUACAUGAGAAUCAAAAUUGCUUUGUUACGGGGCUGGUUUCAAAAUUUAGAACUCAUUUCUAUGUAUCAAAAUCGUUUUUUGUUUUUGUUUUUUGGGUUUUUUGUUUUUUUUGGUUUUUCUUUUUUUUAAUUCUUAAAUGGUAAAUGUACCAUUGUGAAAUGAAAUUUCAACUCCGAAAGUUUAC